rfam:Nicotiana attenuata strain TT scaffold06556, whole genome shotgun sequence.
GGGAUUAUAGAUUAUUGUAUUCGACUGUAUUCACGGCGUGAAACAGGGGAUUACAUAGUUUUUAAACGGAAAGUGAAUCAAUUAACAUAAUAGACUCCU